AUUGAACGCUGGCGGCAUGCCUUACACAUGCAAGUCGAACGGCAGCACGGGGCAACCUGGUGGCGAGUGGCGAACGGGUGAGUAAUGCAUCGGAACGUGCCAUUGAGUGGGGGAUAACGUAGCGAAAGUUGCGCUAAUACCGCAUAUUCUGUGAGCAGGAAAGCGAGGGGACCGCAAGGCCUUGCGCUCUUUGAGCGGCCGAUGUCAGAUUAGCUAGUUGGUGAGGUAACGGCUUACCAAGGCGACGAUCUGUAGCGGGUCUGAGAGGAUGAUCCGCCACACUGGAACUGAGACACGGUCCAGACUCCUACGGGAGGCAGCAGUGGGGAAUUUUGGACAAUGGCGCAAGCCUGAUCCAGCCAUGCCGCGUGAGUGAAGAAGGCCUUCGGGUUGUAAAGGCUCUUCGGUCCGGG
rnacentral:rRNA from 1 species